rnacentral:lncRNA from 1 species
GAGGAGCCGCAUCACAAAAGGAUACUUGGGGUUUGCUAAUUUAUGGAAAAAGUAAUCUCACUUCGUACCCCGAAAAUUUAACCACAUACGUCAAAAUGUCGCAGCUUCGAAACGAGCCAUCACCCAUAUCCAAGUUAACGAUAUGGACUGAGCAACAGAAGAAAACGUUACCAAUACCGCCUAUGGAGAAACUAAUACGCAUCUUGACCCAAA